AAAAUUUAAAGGUCAAUGUUAGGGAUGCAAACGGAUCCGGGUUGGUGGAGCUCCCGCCCCGAUCCGUCCCGACGGGGUCAGUAAAUGGAAGAAAAUAAAUGAAUUCGGGGCAGGAAACGGAGUAAAUUUUACGAUCCGAGAAGGAUUUGGAGCAGGAAAUGAGAGAAAUUUUUACCUGCUCCGAAUCCGCCUCGCCACGAUCCACCCCAAAUCUGCCCCGAAAAUUAUUUAUAUUUUUUUAAAAAAUAUUCCUAAAAAAUAAUGUAUUUGUAAAAAAGUUCAAAAUACAAAUAAGUUAGUACUCUCAUUUCUAAUAUAUUUGAAACUUUUGAAUUUUUGUUUUGAAUUAUGAUUGAUAUUUUUUAUUUGUAUUAUUAAUAUUGUUAAAUUAUAUAUAUAAUAUUAUUAAAAAUUAUUAAUUUAUAUUUUACAAAAUAUUAAUAAUAUUAUAAUUUUAUAAAAAAUAUUAGUUGGCGGGGCGGAUUCGGGGCGCCAGCGGGAGGCGGGUUACGAGGCUGGGCGGAUUAUGCAAUGUAUUUUUUAACCCGUCACGAAUUCGGGGCGGGAGGCGGGGCGAGAUUUGCUAGUCGGGGUGGAAGGCGGGGCUGGGCUCCCGCCCCA
rnacentral:lncRNA from 1 species